AUUGAACGCUGGCGGAAUGCUUUACACAUGCAAGUCGAACGGCAGCACGGACUUCGGUCUGGUGGCGAGUGGCGAACGGGUGAGUAAUACAUCGGAACGUGCCCAGUCGUGGGGGAUAACGUAGCGAAAGCUACGCUAAUACCGCAUACGAUCUAAGGAUGAAAGCGGGGGAUCGCAAGACCUCGCGCGAUUGGAGCGGCCGAUGGCAGCUUAGGUAGUUGGUAGGGUAAAGGCCUACCAAGCCGACGAUCUGUAGCUGGUCUGAGAGGACGACCAGCCACACUGGGACUGAGACACGGCCCAGACUCCUACGGGAGGCAGCAGUGGGGAAUUUUGGACAAUGGACGCAAGUCUGAUCCAGCCAUUCCGCGUGCAGGAUGAAGGCCCUCGGGUUGUAAACUGCUUUUGUACAGAACGAAAGGGCUCUGGUUAAUACCUGGAGCUCAUGACGGUACUGUAAGAAUAAGCACCGGCUAACUACGUGCCAGCCGCCGCGGUAA
rnacentral:rRNA from 1 species